UCCGGACUGGGGCGAACGGGCAUCCACAGACUUGGAAAGCGUGUUGGUGGCAACGCCUCGCGAGUUCGAAUCUCGCAUCCUCCGCCA
rnacentral:tRNA from 1 species